AAUCAACGCUGGCGGCGUGCCUCAGACAUGCAAGUCGAACGCGAAAGUUUCCUUCGGGAGAUGAGUAGAGUGGCGCACGGGUGAGUAACACGUGAGUAAUUUACCUUCGGGUGGGAAGUACUAACCGGAAACGGUUGUUAAUACCGCAUAAUGCAGCGGCAUCAAUGGAUGACAGUUGUUAAAGCGGGGGAUUGGAGCAAUCCGACCUCGCGCCUGAAGAGAAGCUCGCGGCAGAUUAGCUAGUUGGUAAGGUAAUGGCUUACCAAGGCGACGAUCUGUAACCGGCCUGA
rnacentral:rRNA from 1 species